GUGCCAGCAGCCGCGGUAAUACGGAGGGUGCAAGCGUUGUUCGGAAUUAUUGGGCGUAAAGCGCGUGCAGGCGGCCAUUUAAGUCUGAUGUGAAAGCCCCGGGCUCAACCUGGGAAGUGCAUCGGAUACUGGGUGGCUUGAGUACGGGAGAGGGAAGCGGAAUUCCGAGUGUAGGGGUGAAAUCCGUAGAUAUUCGGAGGAACACCAGUGGCGAAGGCGGCUUCCUGGACCGAUACUGACGCUGAGACGC
rnacentral:rRNA from 1 species